AGUGAACGCUGGCGGUAGGCCUAACACAUGCAAGUCGAACGGCAGCACAGUAAGGGCUUGCUCUUACGGGUGGCGAGUGGCGGACGGGUGAGGAAUACAUCGGAAUCUACUUUUUCGUGGGGGAUAACGUAGGGAAACUUACGCUAAUACCGCAUACGACCUACGGGUGAAAGCAGGGGAUCUUCGGACCUUGCGCGAUUGAAUGAGCCGAUGUCGGAUUAGCUAGUUGGCGGGGUAAAGGCCCACCAAGGCGACGAUCCGUAGCUGGUCUGAGAGGAUGAUCAGCCACACUGGAACUGAUACACGGUCCAGACUCCUACGGGAGGCAGCAGUGGGGAAUAUUGGACAAUGGGCGCAAGCCUGAUCCAGCCAUACCGCGUGGGUGAAGAAGGCCUUCGGGUUGUAAAGCCCUUUUGUUGGGAAAGAAAAGCAGCAGGUUAAUACCCCGCUGUUCUGACGGUACCCAAAGAAUAAGCACCGGCUAACUUCGUG
rnacentral:rRNA from 1 species